rnacentral:rRNA from 1 species
GUGCCAGCGCGGUAACACGUAGGGGGCAAGCGUUGUCCGGAUUUAUUGGGCGUAAAGAGCUCGUAGGCGGCUUAGUAAGUCGGGUGUGAAACCUCCAGGCUCAACCUGGAGACGCCACCCGAUACUGCUGUGGCUAGAGUCCGGUAGGGGAGCGUGGAAUUCCUGGUGUAGCGGUGAAAUGCGCAGAUAUCAGGAGGAACACCAGCGGCGAAGGCGGCGCUCUGGGCCGGUACUGACGCUGAGGAGCGAAAGCGUGGGGAGCAAACAGG